GGGGAUAUAAUUCAGUUGGUAGAAUACUUACUUUGCACGUAAGAAGCCCAGAUUCGAAUUCUGGUAUCUCCA
rnacentral:tRNA from 2 species